UUUUUUUUUUUUUUUUUCCGGAAAGCCAUACAAAUUGGUCCAUGUUGACAGAUGUUUGUCACUUAGUAACUUCUUUCCAAGUUUUUUCUUUUUUUUUCCCUCCCUCUCCCCUCCUCUAAGCCUUCUUCCGAGCUUGCUUUGUUGUUUUAAAAUAUGCAUGUCUCUCAGGAAUGCAAGUCACGAGUCCAAACUUCGUGUCCAACCUCCCACAAGAAAUGAUCCUUUUAUAGGGAACCCGAUAUGUCUCAAUCUGCACUUCACUCAAAGCCUCUGGAUAUAGGGCACUGGUCCCUGCUCAAAAAUAACUCCGCUGAAACGCCUUUCCACCUAAAAAAUCCCCACGAAUGACUCCCAGGGAAGAAAUAUAGCUCCCAUAAUUAAAGGCGGCAGCGGUCAGAGGGGAAUGCAGCCUGGAGGAAAAAAAAAAAAAAAAAAAAAAAAAAAAGGAGGGGGGAGGAAAGCAGAGAGCGAGAGUUUUUAUUUCUGUGCUGGGCCGUCAUUAGCAGCAGGUUUAUCAAGACGAGCCUCUGUGGCAGCUCCGGGUGCGUGGGGAGAAGGCGUCAGCUCAUGAGGAGCAGAGAAGAGGAGAGAUUAAGGAGCAGAGCCCAACUCCGAGAAAAAGAAUAUUUUGCUGCGGAGAGGGAAAAACCCAUCCCCUUGAAGUCUCUGGGAAAUCUUCAACAUUGACAGGAGGAAACGGUGGCUAAUACAUUCCUGCGAGCUACACGCUCUGCUGUUAAGGAGGGAGAGAGAGAGCAAUCCUUGCCUAGAAAGCAUCCCGGGGCUUUUCAUCCAGUGCCCGGGAUAUGUUAGCACGUCGUGCAGAAAGCUACAGCCAGCAUCGCGUUUUUUUCGUGGAGUUUUGCGACCCCCCUUUUUACUGUACAGCAGAGAGCCUGGUUUCGGCGUGGCUGUGUAAAUAGCCAAUUUACUCUUUUGCAGGUGUGUUCUCCCUACACAAAUGCUUUCCCCACUUUUAUAGGAACUCUUAAAAAAAAUUUUUUUUUUUUUGCCUCUCCUGCUAAAAUCACAGAUGUUUAUUUUAUUGAUAUAACCUAUACCUUGGUUAUGCCGAGAAUAUUAUGCCUCAACUAACAGUCAUUUAGCAAAUAAUAGAGGUGAUCUGGAUGCUUUCCAAUGUUACACAUGUACUUGGUCAUAAAAUGAUAUGUGAAAAAAAUUAACAUCUGCUUUCCUAAAAUAAAGUGUUGCAAGUAGC